UACGUAGGGGGCAAGCGUUGUCCGGAAUUAUUGGGCGUAAAGAGCUCGUAGGCGGUUUGUCGCGUCGAAUGUGAAAUCCCGGGGCUCAACCCCGGGCCUGCAUUCGAUACGGGCAGACUAGAGUUCGGUAGGGGAGUCUGGAAUUCCUGGUGUAGCGGUGAAAUGCGCAGAUAUCAGGAAGAACACCCGUGGCGAAGGCGGCUCUCUGGGACGUGACUGACGCUGAGACGCGAAAGCGUGGGGAGCGAACAGG
rnacentral:rRNA from 1 species